rnacentral:rRNA from 1 species
CCUACGGGAGGCAGCAGUGGGGAAUAUUGCACAAUGGGCGCAAGCCUGAUGCAGCCAUGCCGCGUGUAUGAAGAAGGCCUUCGGGUUGUAAAGUACUUUCAGCGGGGAGGAAGGCGACGGGGUUAAUAACCCCGUCGAUUGACGUUACCCGCAGAAGAAGCACCGGCUAACUCCGUGCCAGCAGCCGCGGUAAU